GCCCCUAUAGCUCAGCUGGUAGAGCAUCUGAUUUGUAAUCAGAGGGUCGGGAGUUCGAGUCUCUCUGGGGGCA
rfam:Rhodobacteraceae bacterium HLTCCO18 ITZY_scaf_561, whole genome shotgun sequence.